rnacentral:tRNA from 8 species
CUAGGAUUCUAAACUAAACUAUUCUUUG